AAGCUGUUCUCAUCUCAUCCUGCCAUCUUCACUGUGGAUAAUGAGAGAAGGCCUGAGCCAACACAGCAGUGUUUGUUUCGAGGCAAAACAGGAUGCUAAGGCAGAGCUAUGCCAAAUACUGAGUUCAAAAGAUAAGGGAAAUGUACCAAAAUGAUCGUAAUUUUCCUUCUACCUGACAAAAUUUAUUCUCAGAUGAGCUGAGAUAGCUAUUUAUGCAAGGAAGCAGAUUUUGGACUCAGUCUUUUGUAUCAUAACUUCAGAGACAUUAUUUGACUCCAUUAGCAUCAAACUUAUCUGGAGACACUCUUCUCUCCCUGAAGAUCUAUUGAGGAGGGGAAAGAAUGCAGCCAGGAGAAUUGUUGCAAAUAUCGCCAGGGAGAUUAUCAAAUAACCUUGUUGAAUAACUUUCCUUUGAUACCUCAGCACUUUGGAGGCAGUUGUGGAAAUGUUCACUGUGAAUAUGAAUUGAUGAAGACAAAUUGAUUAACUCUCAGCAUGAGCAGUUUGGGGCCAAUUUUCCUAUCUGGCCAGGUUUAGGAAGAAGUGCUUUAGAGCUGCAAGCAAUUCCUGGAUUUCACCCUGAUGAACAGUAAGGAAGUGUGUGAAGAUUUUUCCUCCUCCUUUGCAGCACGUCCAGGCGAGACAUUUCUGCCCUUAAAGUGCGCAUUCAGGCCUGCUUAAACUUCGCCCAGACAUGGAUGCAGAAGACUUGAGGUCAGAGACCUGCAAGGGGUGAGCAGGGAUGCUAGCCACUUUUAGCUGUUGGUCACCGGAGGAAUCAGACAGGUUCAACACUCCAAGAGUUUUACAAAGAAGCAGUACAUAAUGAGCCGCCUGGAAAAGCCUGUAAGAAGACUGCUCAACCGUGGCCCCAUCUGAUUAAGUCAAAUCUGCCUUACAGCUUUCUACAUAUGUCACAACAGCCGUGAAUUUAUGCAAUUUGGCUUCACCCUUAGGCAAGGAGUGUCAGGUGGGU